rnacentral:ncRNA from 1 species
AUUCCGGAGAGGGAGCCUGAGAAACGGCUACCACAUCCAAGGAAGGCAGCAGGCGCGCAAAUUACCCAAUCCCGACACGGGGAGGUAGUGACAAUAAAUACUGAUACAGGGCUCUUUUGAGUCUUGUAAUUGGAAUGAGUACAAUUUAAAUCCCUUAACGAGGAACAAUUGGAGGGCAAGUCUGGUGCCAGCAGCCGCGGUAAUUCCAGCUCCAAUAGCGUAUAUUAAAGUUGUUGCAGUUAAAAAGCUCGUAGUUGAACCUUGGGCCUGGCUGGCCGGUCCGCCUCACCGCGUGCACUGGUCCGGCCGGGCCUUUCCUCCUGGGGAGCCGCAUGCCCUUCACUGGGUGUGUCGGGGAACCAGGACUUUUACUUUGAAAAAAUUAGAGUGUUCAAAGCAGGCCUAUGCUCGAAUACAUUAGCAUGGAAUAAUAGAAUAGGACGUGUGGUUCUAUUUUGUUGGUUUCUAGGACCGCCGUAAUGAUUAAUAGGGAUAGUCGGGGGCAUCAGUAUUCAAUUGUCAGAGGUGAAAUUCUUGGAUUUAUUGAAGACUAACUACUGCGAAAGCAUUUGCCAAGGAUGUUUUCAUUAAUCAGUGAACGAAAGUUAGGGGAUCGAAGACGAUCAGAUACCGUCGUAGUCUUAACCAUAAACUAUGCCGACUAGGGAUCGGGCGAUGUUAUCUUUUUGACUCGCUCGGCACCUUACGAGAAAUCAAAGUUUUUGGGUUCUGGGGGGAGUAUGGUCGCAAGGCUGAAACUUAAA